CGGAGCCGGAGUGAAAUUGAAGUCGCGUGUUUGCAUUAGUUUUUUUAAUUGCUGUUGGGGCUGGGGCUGCGUGAUCGUCACUGGCGUCCUCCAGAGUGCCCACCGAUCGGAAAGUCGUACGAACCGCAAGCUUUGAACGUCUGUUUAUCGCAACAUCGAAAGCGGUGGCACAGAAGACGCGAUGUGAGCUCCGGUGGGAACAGCAGCCCUUUGUCUCGUAACGGAUGUUGCUAUCUCUACAAUAGCCGGAGAAGACGAAACAAGUUUUGCAAUGCACACGGACUGGCUCAGUUGUGAAUGUCACAAAUGCUCCCCUAACGAGGAUCAUAUCAAUGAAAGGAUGGCCUUGAUAAAUAAUAUUCAUGAGGCGAAGAGGAAGUACCCAUACAUGAUGAGCUUUGAGAGGUGACUUUGCAAGACUGACUAAGAUUGACCCAUCACCUUGUAUUGCAAAAGGGAUCAACAAAAUUGUGAAAAUGGCAGAAAUGAAACACAUCCCUUGCGAAGCAAGUGUAAUGGCAUCACUUCAAAAGGCUCGUGAGAUGUCACCGGAGAGGCUGCGAACACGACGUGAGUACUGUUACAAAGGCUUCAUCGGCAGCUUUUAGACCUACACUCCGUGAC